rnacentral:rRNA from 1 species
GACGAACGCUGGCGGCGUGCUUAACACAUGCAAGUCGAACGGAAAGGCCCUGCUCUUGUGGGGUGCUCGAGUGGCGAACGGGUGAGUAACACGUGAGUAACCUGCCCUUGACUUUGGGAUAACUUCAGGAAACUGGGGCUAAUACCGGAUAGGAGCUCCUGCUGCAUGGUGGGGGUUGGAAAGUUUCGGCGGUUGGGGAUAGACUCGCGGCUUAUCAGCUUGUUGGUGGGGUAGUGGCUUACCAAGGCUUUGACGGGUAGCCGGCCUGAGAGGGUGACCGGCCACAUUGGGACUGAGAUACGGCCCAGACUCCUACGGGAGGCAGCAGUGGAGAAUAUUGCACAAUGGGCGGAAGCCUGAUGCAGCAACGCCGCGUGCGGGAUGACGGCCUUCGGGGUGUAAACCGCUUUCGCCUGUGACGAAGCGUGAGUGACGGUAAUGGGUAAAGAAGCACCGGCUAACUACGUG